UGGGGAAUAUUGCACAAUGGGCGCAAGCCUGAUGCAGCCAUGCCGCGUGUGUGAAGAAGGCCUUCGGGUUGUAAAGCACUUUCAGCGGGGAGGAAGGCGAUAAGGUUAAUAACCUUGUCGAUUGACGUUACCCGCAGAAGAAGCACCGGCUAACUCCGUGCCAGCAGCCGCGGUAAUACGGAGGGUGCAAGCGUUAAUCGGAAUUACUGGGCGUAAAGCGCACGCAGGCGGUCUGUCAAGGCGGAUGUGAAAUCCCCGGGCUUAACCUGGGAACUGCAUUCGAAACUGGCAGGCUGGAGUCAUGUGGAGGGGAGUAGAAUUCCAAGUGUAGCGGUGAAAUGCGUAGAGUUUUGGAGGAAUACCGGUUGCGAAGGCAGCCCCCUGGACAAAGACUGACGCUCAUGUGCGAAAGCGUGGGGAGCAAACAGG
rnacentral:rRNA from 1 species